GACGAACGCUGGCGGCGUGCCUAAUACAUGCAAGUCGAACGCUUCUUUCCUCCCGAGUGCUUGCACUCAAUUGGAAAGAGGAGUGGCGGACGGGUGAGUAACACGUGGGUAACCUACCCAUCAGAGGGGGAUGACACUUGGAAACAGGUGCUAAUACCGCAUAACAGUUUAUGCCGCAUGGCAUAUGAGUGAAAGGCGCUUUCGGGUGUCGCUGAUGGAUGGACCCGCGGUGCAUUAGCUAGUUGGUGAGGUAACGGCUCUCCAAGGCCACGAUGCAUAGCCGACCUGAGAGGGUGAUCGGCCACACUGGGACUGAGACACGGCCCAGACUCCUACGGGAGGCAGCAGUAGGGAAUCUUCGGCAAUGGACGAAAGUCUGACCGAGCAACGCCGCGUGAGUGAAGAAGGUUUUCGGAUCGUAAAACUCUGUUGUUAGAGAAGAACAAGGACGUUAGUAACUGAACGUCCCCUGACGGUAUCUAACCAGAAAGCCACGGCUAACUACGUG
rnacentral:rRNA from 1 species